rnacentral:lncRNA from 7 species
GCAACUGUGUUGCAGAGAGAGAGUACUUGAAUCAAAUACAUGGGAGGAAAGAAAAUAAGCUGCACAAAUUCAGGGAUGCUAAAUCUGCAAAGCCAGCUCAGCAAACAGCUGAUCUAUCUGACUUGAUCUUGGCUGGGUACCCUUCUGGUGGUCUCCCAGCUAAUGUAAGCUGAGCUCAUCAGAAAGCGGCUGCCCAACCUGAUACUGAGACUCUGUGAAUGCUACAACUUAGCCUUAUGAGUGGGAUGCAUCAUCUUAACCAUACCUACUAGUCUAAACUAUUGACUGUGUGGAAUAACGUGGGGAAAAAGUUGGAUUUAAAUCAAUCCCUGCAAAAGAUUUCUUGUUACAUAGGCUACAGAAAAUCCUUUCUCUAUAUUUCUCCUUCUCCCAGGCAGAUGGAGAAGAGCGGAGCAGAUUCUGGCCUCUGGGCCAGUGCUGUCAGUGAGCUCAUUUAUAGGGCUGGGCAGGUUUUGGUGGGCGAAAAGCCAUAUGAUACAAAAGAACCUGCUCCAAAUGGGGUUUUGUUGCUACCAUUGCACUAGGUUCCUUUUUUACUUCUUCUGUAAUUAAUAAAAAAUAACUACAAUUGUAUUCAUGAUAGAGACUAUUCAGUCUGGGGGGGGAAGUACUUCUGUAUAUGCUGACCUGACUUCAUAUUUUGGGGUGGCAAUAUCUUACCAUGGUGGACAGCAAGAUGGAUUUCUGCUGGUGACAGACUAAAAAUCUUUGGUUAAUUAGGUGUGUUCAUUUCAAAAUAUAUAAUAACUAGGAAAAGACAUGCAAAACCUGAAAUUAGAUCAUGUUAUGCAUAGAGGAUAUAGCAGUCAGUAUUUACCAUUUGCAAUAAAAAGUAAUCGUAUAUAUUUAAACAAAUACUGUAAACAAACUCCUGCUUCCCUUCACAGGCAGAGUUCAAGCAGGCAAGUUUGUUUUGUGGCUUUCAGGCGACUUUUAAAAUGUCAAACUUCAUUGCAGUUAGCACUGUUCAAAAAUACACACAAGCAUGCACAAUUAUGUACAAGUAAAUAUAUACUUGUUCAAUUUUCUUAGAAAUUGAAAUGAAAAACAGGUGUUACUCGUAAAUGCUUACAUUUCUCUCCAGACAGCAUUUCCUGGGAUAGGUUAUAUUUUUCUUUAAGACCAUAAGGCAGUUGUUCCAUCUGAAAACCUGACGUUGUUCCAGUUAUUCUGCCUGAACAGCUUCUAUUAAGAGAAGGUUUUUUUAGUGUUCAGUUUCCAUUCCUUUUUAUAAGCUGAAGAACACUGUUGUCAAUCAUUACACCUAUGCAGCUAUUGUCCCUCCCAAACAGCAGAAUCAGAGCUGUUGUGACAGCGUACAUUGUACAUAGAAAUCUUUGCACAAAAGUAAGGGCGGAAAAGAGAAGAUGUACUGGGGGAUUAUAUCCCUUAAUUAAAAGAAGCAAUGCAUCUGAAGUAAUGAUUCCCAAAAUAAAUGCUUAUGAGAACCAUAGCU